GAUGAAGAACGCAGCGAAAUGCGAUAAGUAGUGUGAAUUGCAGAAUUCAGUGAAUCAUCGAAUAUUUGAACGCACAUUGCGCCCCAUGGUAUUCCGUGGGGCAUGCCUGUUCGAGCGUCAUUUACCCCCUCAAGCUCCGCUUGGUGUUGGGCGUCUGUCCCGCUUCGCGCGCGGACUCGCCCCAAAGGUAUUGGCAGCGGUCGUGCCAGCUUCUCGCGCAGCACAUUGCGCUUCUCGAGGCACCGGUGGGCCCGCGUCCAUCAAGCUCACCCCCCCAGUUUGACCUCGGAUCAGGUAGGGAUACCCGCUGAACUUAAGCAUAUCAAUAAGCGGAGGA
rnacentral:misc_RNA from 1 species